ACCCGUCUAGCUCAGUUGGUAGAGUGCAAGGCUCUUAACUUUAUGGGCGUGGGAUCGUGCCUCACGAUGGGCA
rnacentral:tRNA from 1 species